rnacentral:rRNA from 1 species
GGUUUCCGUAGGUGAACCUGCGGAAGGAUCAUUAACGAUUGCUACUCACGCAAAAGACAAAACGACGUAUGGUUAACGCCAAGAAACUCCUGACGAGUUCAGGAAGGAUGAUUCCUUUCUCGCUCUAGAGAAGGAAGUGCCAUCGUGGUCGUGGUGCGUCUGCACUGCGAACGAUGUAAAACAAACACCCUGUGGCCCCUCAUAUAGUAUAAUAUCGCUCGCCAUGGUAUACAGGCCUGGCAUCUGGUACGAGUCUCUCGCAGUCUCAAAACCAACCUUACAACUCUGAGCGGUGGAUCACUUGGCUUGUGGAUGCUAUGAAGACCAUAGCUAAGUGUGAGAAUGGCAGCGAGCCGUCGCUAUAUGCGCUGUCCUCUUCUUAUCACAUGUCGAAUGCACAUUGCGCCCCACCCAGUGGUCGGCUAACCUCCUGCAGACAAAAGCCUGUGCGUUUGGGACAAAGGCGGUGUGUGGCCCUCGAGCAACGGCGGGGGAGCCAGGAGCACAUUUGCGUGCGGACCAACCACUCGUUAGUAGUCAGGCUGAACCCUAUGGUGGGGCACUCCUAGUGGAGUGUGGUGGAUCGGACUCUUGUCUCUUAUUGUGCUUUUUUGCACGUGGGAGUUUGAGUUACUUUGUUGCUGGAGGCUAUUUGGGUCGACAUCAGUCGUGCCCGUAAACAACUGCCUUGGCUCGUGCCUCUGUGCGUUCAUCUCACGUGGGUGCGCAUAUUGAAAGGCCAUAGCUGGCGAUCAAUCUUGCGACCAGGGCACUACAUUUGCCAUGUAAAUGGCAAAUGUAGUGCCCUGUAAAUGCGUGUAAAUGCUGUGUGGGCUCGGCCUCUUUUCCCUGAGAGUCGCGUUGCUUGAGCAUGCAGCGCUAAGCAGGUCGUAAACUCGAUCUAAGGCUAAAUAUGUCCACAAGACCGAUAGCGAACAAGUACCGUGAGGGAAAGUUGAAAAGCACUCUGAAGAGAGAGUCAAAAGACC